rnacentral:rRNA from 1 species
UUNUGGUGGAGCAUGUGGUUUAAUUCGAAGCAACGCGAAGAACCUUACCAGGUCUUGACAUCCUUUGACCACUCGAGAGAUCGAGCUUUCCCUUCGGGGACAAAGUGACAGGUGGUGCAUGGUUGUCGUCAGCUCGUGUCGUGAGAUGUUGGGUUAAGUCCCGCAACGAGCGCAACCCUUAUUACUAGUUGCCAGCAUUCAGUUGGGCACUCUAGUGAGACUGCCGGUGACAAACCGGAGGAAGGUGGGGAUGACGUCAAAUCAUCAUGCCCCUUAUGACCUGGGCUACACACGUGCUACAAUGGAUGGUACAACGAGUCGCGAAGUCGUGAGGCCAAGCUAAUCUCUUAAAGCCAUUCUCAGUUCGGAUUGUAGGCUGCAACUCGCCUACNGAAGCCNGAAUCGC